AGAACACUUGACAAGUAUGAGAAGGGACCUCAGGCAGAUUUCAAAGUCAGCAAUAAGAAGACAGUAUGCUGCGCAGAAUGUUUGGGUGGAAGUACAAAUUAAAAAGGAGCAAAUCCAAGUCAUGUGUAUAAGAAGAAUGAAGUAUGAAAGACUACUAGAUUAUCCAUGAUCUGCAGGGAUCACUGAGGUCAGAAAUCCUAGUAAAAUGCCAGAACCUCCUUAAUAUGGAAAUACAUCUUUACAUAUAUGUAACAGAUUUGUGUUGGAUCAGAAUAGAACUGACUACAAAAUACUGUUUAGGUGGCCUAAUGACUACUUGUGCAGACGACAAGAACUUACAGCUGCUGAAGUGGUUAAAUACAUCUAGUUAG